CUUAUCAAGAGCGGUGGAGGGAACGGCCCUGUGAAGCCCGGCAACCUGCGAUAAAGCAAGGUGCCAAAUCCGGCGGUGAAACGAAAGAUGAG
rnacentral:ncRNA from 1 species